rnacentral:rRNA from 1 species
AGUGCUUGGUUUGCGCCAUUUUUGCGGCAUUUUGGGACGUCGGCGCUUUCUCGCCCUCCUCUUAGCUCUUAAGGGUUUAGCGGCUUUGAGACUUUGUGGGCUUUACGGCCUCGUUGGGGUGCUACGGCUAAGGAGGAGGAGGCGGUCGGUCUGCUUGACCGCCUUCCUCCACCUACCCGACGAAGCCGCCUACGUGAGGGAGGAGAAGCCGCGGCUGCGGCGCGAGCUCGCGCCCCUACGCCGCCGCCGCGUCCAAGAGCACGAUGCGGAGGAGCCGAAGGAGCUAAGGGUCUGGGAGAGGCGGAUGUGCCCGGGACUUCGGCGGAAGCAGCGCGGGUAGGCGCGGCGUCGGAGAAGGACAGAGCGGCGACGGAGGGCGCAACCGCGGAGGCUGAGCCUGGCACGUCGCAAACUCGAGCGUUUUUUCUUACGACCAACACAAAAAGGUUUCGUUCCGCUGCAAUCGUUACUUUUCUACUUCACAAGUUUCAUAAAAGUCCGAAAAGUACUCUUUAGGUUUCCUUUACAACGACUAGUUGUCUUGAGUCGAACGCUCUUCAAGUGCUAAGUUCCCCCAGGUGUAUAACUCCUUUCGGGUCGACCGUAUCUGUUACUCUUCGAAUCGUAACCCCGAAGUUUUAACUACCGUGUUAGUUUUUAUUGUAGUAACAUGCCAUUGUUCAAGAACUUCCGUUUAUCACACAGUCUGUUCUUAUACAAGUUUAGUCUCCCCUUGUACAGAUUUCUCAAACGAACACAACUCUUACUCUAGUCUUGUUUAUUUUUACUAUUGUGUGCAGGACGAAUAGACCCCCAACUUCUCCUAUUCUUUGUAACACCCGGUAACGUCUGAAGUUUUGCUUUCGUAUGUCCCAAGUCUUCAGGAUAUACACUUGUACGCCUAAGAGAUAAUUUGGUUCUACUUCGACUACGAGGACGGUUACCCAAACACUGACGAUCCUAUUUCAACCGCUACCUGUGACACGUUUUCGUACCCGUAUUACCGGUGGUUCCACGAAGACAUAGAGGCGUUACACUAUUGUUGGAAUCAUGUGUCUUAAUACCACACUCCGGUUCGACCUUAAGAGCAGCACCUGGUGCACCAUUAAAACAGGGGGGAUAGGCUUUGUUACCACCUAGACGAACGUUGCGUUAGUUGAGUGCUCCUCAACGACCUUUUUUACUACUAAGGUACCUUCUAAGUUAUUUUUUUACGAAUCUUUACGAAACACCGGGACUACCACUCGAAGGACUCUUCAACUCCUUAAACCUUGGAGCGGAAUAACUCGUACAAUCAUUGCUUUAUUACCUAUUUCUGGGAUUACAAGCGACCCUACUGUAUCGACCAAACCUAGUACGUUUCUUCACACACUGUCUCUACCAAUAAACCGGGGAUGACGCAGGUCUGUAGAAAGCACCAACAGCCAGUGGACCUUCUCCUGAUGAUGAUAAACCUGGAGGACCUUGUCCGUUUUGGUACUAACCUUUUCGUUAACGACCACUCCGAUUCCGUUGUAAAAAGAUGUAUAGACGUUCAAGUGAGUGCUCGUUUACCUAACCGCUCCCGCUUUUCGAUCAGGCCCGUGAUAAACCACAUCGGACAACAGCAGUCGGACGACAGUAUAAACACCUACUCUAACUAAGUGAUGAUAGAGUCGCGUUUAGUCUACCACUUGUACUUAGUUCAUCCUCCAAUUUUUGUGUCAAAGAUUAACUCUACCUUCCAAAACUGUCACCUUUGCUCGUUUAAAAUGAAUAUCCUCGUUGUUUGUCUGGAGUUCUUAAUCUACUUCGUCGUGCGUCCGCUGACUGUUUCGCAGAUAUGUAGGGGGAAGGAAGUAGUCUUCGUGCAUGAACCUAUUAAGCGUUAGAUAACCUUUUCCUACCGGAAAAGUUCGAGAGUCUCUUUCUUUGUCCACAGUAGACGUUCAAUUGUCUUCCAAUGAGCCCUAGACUAUACUUUUUAGAACACUUUCUACGGAGUUACCCCGGUGACUCUCUUCGAGAGGUUGUCCCACAACUUUAGUGUUUCGAGUUGUUCCUCCUUCACGCAGGCCACUACGAGUUCCUGAAACUCCGACGAGACGUCCUCCAGUCUGGAAGACAAAGGUGUUCGCUUAACCCCUAAAUACUUCUUACCUUGUACGUCAAACCGUCGGAUAGUUAGAUUAAACAUACCCCUAUAAGAGUUCAUGAUGGAGGCCGGGUAUUACAUUCUGCAAAAACGUUCGAUACUAUCGAACGUUUUUUGCAGAAUGUAACACCCUACAUCAUCAUUCAUGUUUAUUUUAGUAGUGUUGUCUAUUCACCGAGUUACUAAAGUGGUACUUAUAAUGGUGUUUAUUCACCAAGUAACUAAUUGGGUGUUGUAAUGUGACAG